CGGCCGCCCUCAAGCCCUCUGCCACCUUUGACCCAGGUGAGCAGGCUGGGCCCUGCCCAGUAAGCAAGCAGACUUGGAAACUGGCAACUCCCAGUAUUCAGACUGAAGGACACAGGGCAGGCUGGGAAGAGUGUCUGCCCGGCCCACACACCUGUACCCCCCUCCUAGCCGUUCCUUCUCUCUGCUCGGUCUCUCUCCAUCCUGUUGAUUUGCCCUUUGGUGGUGGUGCGGUCCCUCAUUUUAGCCAUGCGCCCAGGGAUUUGCUCCUUCUCUGUAUGUGGAGCCGGUCAGUAGUUCUGUCUCUGAGCACCUGGGUGGCCUAGUGGCACCAGGUCUCGCUGGCUCUGUCACCAAUGAGUCCCUGAGCAGAGUCCUCCAAGGCCACCUCUUCUCUCGGCUCUUGUCUAGCUGACACAGAGAGAAAUGUGAUCCCAGAGAAUAGUAUUUACAUCUGCACCUGUAUAGCAUGACUCUCAGGCUUUGUCCCUUGUCCCCCUUUCCCUGCCUCCUCUCUCCUUCCCUUUUCUUCGGGAGUUUUCCUUCUCCUCUUUCCUGUUUUCUCUGCCCUUCUUUCUUGGAGGGUAAUCAGUGCUCUUUGGAUUCCUGGAAAGAGCUCAGCUCACCCCCAGGAUAGGUGACCGCAGGAGCUACUGUAGUGUGGAUUCCUGAAGGCUAGAAGUUCUCUCGGUUCAUGAGAGGGUCGUGGCCCUGUUUGGAACCCCUGUCUUCCACUCCGAGUGUGGGAGGAACCUUACUGUAAGUGCACUCCUCCAGCCAGGGGCCUGCAGGUAGGGCCGUAGAAGUCUUUGCUACCAGACUGUCAAGUUACUUUUUUACCCUAGAAAAUCUCUCUCCCUCAUCCCCCACAAAAGGAAGGUCAGAUAAAGGGGAGGGGAGUUGUUUCCCUUCAUUUU
rnacentral:lncRNA from 1 species